rnacentral:rRNA from 1 species
UGGGGAAUUUUGGACAAUGGGGGAAACCCUGAUCCAGCCAUCCCGCGUGUGCGAUGAAGGCCUUCGGGUUGUAAAGCACUUUUGGCAGGAAAGAAACGUCAUGGGUUAAUACCCCGUGAAACUGACGGUACCUGCAGAAUAAGCACCGGCUAACUACGUGCCAGCAGCCGCGGUAAUACGUAGGGUGCAAGCGUUAAUCGGAAUUACUGGGCGUAAAGCGUGCGCAGGCGGUUCGGAAAGAAAGAUGUGAAAUCCCAGAGCUCAACUUUGGAACUGCAUUUUUAACUACCGGGCUAGAGUGUGUCAGAGGGAGGUGGAAUUCCGCGUGUAGCAGUGAAAUGCGUAGAUAUGCGGAGGAACACCGAUGGCGAAGGCAGCCUCCUGGGAUAACACUGACGCUCAUGCACUAAAGCGUGGGGAGCAAACAGG